GAUGUUUUCAAGAAACAACUUGACCUCCUGCUGUCCAAGGUUCCAGAUGAACCCACACCACAGCAAGAAACUCAAAAGAGGGCAGCAGUGUCAAACUCUCUCCUUCACCAAAAGCCAAUCACAUAAGAAUGGCCAUUGAAAAGGUGAUUACACAGUGGGGUGCUCCAGCAUGGC